rnacentral:tRNA from 1 species
GCGGGGGUUUCCCAGCCAGGUCAAAGGAAUCUACUUAAAGUAGGCCGAUAAAAGGAGCUGGACUUAGGAUCCAGUCGCAUAGGCGUUCGUGAGUUCAAAUCUCACCCCCCGCA